GACGAACGCUGGCGGCGUGCUUAACACAUGCAAGUCGAACGGAAAGGCCCUGCUUUUGUGGGGUGCUCGAGUGGCGAACGGGUGAGUAACACGUGAGUAACCUGCCCCUGACUUUGGGAUAACUUCAGGAAACUGGGGCUAAUACCGGAUAGGAUCUCCUGCUGCAUGGUGGGGGUUGGAAAGUUUCGGCGGUUGGGGAUGGACUCGCGGCUUAUCAGCUUGUUGGUGGGGUAGUGGCUUACCAAGGCUUUGACGGGUAGCCGGCCUGAGAGGGUGACCGGCGACAUUGGGACUGAGAUACGGCCCAGACUCGUACGGGAGGCAGCAGUGGGGAGUAUUGCACAAUGGGCGGAAGCGUGAUGCAGAAACGCCGCGUGCGGGAUGACGGCCUUCGGGUUGUAAACCGCUUUCGACUGUGACGAAGCGUGAGUGACGGUAAUGGGUAAGGAAGCACCGGCUAACUACGUG
rnacentral:rRNA from 1 species